CCAAUAGCGUAUAUUAAAGUUGUUGCAGUUAAAAAGCUCGUAGUUGAACUUCAGACCUGGCUGGAUGGUCUGCCUAACGGUAUGUACUGUCCGGCUGGGCCUUACCUCUUGGUGAGCCGGCAUGCCCUUCACUGGGUGUGUCGGGGAACCAGGACUUUUACCUUGAGAAAAUUAGAGUGUUCAAAGCAGGCUUAUGCUCGAAUACAUUAGCAUGGAAUAAUGAAAUAGGACGUUUGAUCCUAUUUUGUUGGUUUCUAGGAUUGACGUAAUGAUUAAUAGGGAUAGUUGGGGGCAUUAGUAUUCAAUUGUCAGAGGUGAAAUUCUUGGAUUUAUUGAAGACUAACUACUGCGAAAGCAUUUGCCAAGGAUGUUUUCAUUAAUCAAGAACGAAAGUUAGGGGAUCGAAGACGAUCAGAUACCGUCGUAGUCUUAACCAUAAACUAUGCCGACUAGGGAUCGGAUGAUGUUAAUUUUUUAAUGACUCAUUCGGCGCCUUACG
rnacentral:rRNA from 1 species